UUAUAUAUGCGUAUAUAAUUGCGGGGUUCUAAGCUUUACGGGAAACUCAACCGAAAGUUUCUUAUUUAAAAACUUUCGAUUGGGUUUCUUUGUAAAGCUUAGAACCCUGCAAUUACAUACGUAUAUAUAA
rfam:Brassica napus, WGS project CCCW01000000 data, contig: 7